CAGAUUGAACAAGAAUUUCAAUUAAUAUUAAAUGGAAAACAUGAUAAGUUUCUUGCUAAAUUUCCAUCUUAUUACUGCCCAAAAAUUUUAAAAUAUGCUAAUUCGAACCGAAUUGAUCUUAUAAGGCGUACACAUCAUAUUUCAGAUGAAUGUUUAAGAGCAUUACUUAUUCUCGUGGAUUUGCUACCAAUUCCAUAUUCAUGUAAUGCUCCUAACACAAAAAUAAAGAAUGUCAAAAGAAAAAGGGUAAUAAAAGGGCUAAGUUAAAUCAAAAAGAAAUUAAUAACAGUGUUAAUACAUGUGUGGAUUGUCCGUCAACUGUUAA